GCCUGGGUGGCUCAGUCAGUUAAGCGUCUGACUUCGGCUCAGGUCAUGAUCUUGCAGUUUGUGGGUUUGGGCCCCACAUCAGGCU
rnacentral:tRNA from 1 species